rnacentral:rRNA from 1 species
UACGUAGGGCGCGAGCGUUGUCCGGAUUUAUUGGGCGUAAAGAGCUCGUAGGCGGCUUGUCACGUCGGAUGUGAAAACUCGGGGCUCAACUCCGAGCUUGCAUUCGAUACGGGCAGGCUAGAGUUCGGUAGGGGAGACUGGAAUUCCUGGUGUAGCGGUGAAAUGCGCAGAUAUCAGGAAGAACACCCGUGGCGAAGGCGGCCCUCUGGGACGGUACUGACGCUGAGACGCGAAAGCGUGGGGAGCGAACAGG